GGAAGGAGAAGCGAACUAGGUCAGAUGAUUCCGACGAGUCAGAUAACGAUGUUCUCAGCAAACGAUCGUCCCGAUUCGGCCGAAUCAGAGGAAGAGGCAGGGGAAGAGGAAGAGGAAGAAGACGGCAUGCAACAGACAUGCCUACCCCCGCGAAGGAUGAUGGAAGAAGAAGAAGAAAGAAUGUGGGUUUGACUUGUCAUCAGUGUAAAAUCGUCAAGAGUAAGAGUGAUUUUGUCUUGUGUUCUAAAUGCAUCAAGGUUAAGAAGCGCUAUUGCUAUGACUGCAUCAACAGAUGGUAUCCAGAGAGAACCCCUGAGGAAGUUCAAACUGCAUGUCCUUUCUGUUUGGGGAAUUGCAACUGCAGAGCUUGUUUGCGGGAGCCUUUGCUUCUCA